GUGGUUGCUUGGCAGCACAUAUGCUAAAAUUGGAAGGAUACAGAGGAGAUUAGCAUGGCCACUGAACAAGGAUGACACACAAAUUUGUGAAGAGAUAUCAAUGACU